AUACUUACCUGGACGGGGUCAAUGGGCGAUCAUGAAGGCCCAUGGCCUAGGUUGGUGGCCUCCAUUGCACUUGGGAGGUGCACCCGCCUAAGGUCAGCCCAAAGUGGCUGAGCCUACGUCAUAAUUUGUGGCAGUGGGGGCCUGCGUUCGCGCGGCCCCCUA
rfam:Citrus clementina cultivar Clemenules unplaced genomic scaffold scaffold_5, whole genome shotgun sequence.